rnacentral:rRNA from 1 species
GUGGGGAAUAUUGGACAACGGGGGGAACCCUGAUCCAGCCAUGCCGCGUGUGUGAAGAAGGCCUUUUGGUUGUAAAGCACUUUAAGCGAGGAGGAGGCUACCGAGAUUAAUACUCUUGGAUAGUGGACGUUACUCGCAGAAUAAGCACCGGCUAACUCUGUGCCAGCAGCCGCGGUAAUACAGAGGGUGCAAGCGUUAAUCGGAUUUACUGGGCGUAAAGCGCGCGUAGGUGGCCAAUUAAGUCAAAUGUGAAAUCCCCGAGCUUAACUUGGGAAUUGCAUUCGAUACUGGUUGGCUAGAGUAUGGGAGAAGAUGGUAGAAUUCCAGGUGUAGCGGUGAAAUGCGUAGAGAUCUGGAGGAAUACCGAUGGCGAAGGCAGCCAUCUGGCCUAAUACUGACACUGAGGUGCGAAAGCAUGGGGAGCAAAAGGGAUUAGAAACCCUUGUAGUCC